rnacentral:rRNA from 1 species
UACGUAGGGCGCAAGCGUUGUCCGGAAUUAUUGGGCGUAAAGAGCUCGUAGGCGGCCUGUUACGUCUGCUGUGAAAUCCCGGGGCUUAACCCCGGGCGUGCAGUGGAUACGGGCAGGCUGGAGGCAGGCAGGGGAGAACGGAAUUCCCGGUGUAGCGGUGAAAUGCGCAGAUAUCGGGAGGAACACCGGUGGCGAAGGCGGUUCUCUGGGCCUGUACUGACGCUGAGGAGCGAAAGCCAGGGGAGCAAACGGG